rnacentral:rRNA from 1 species
UACGUAGGGCGCAAGCGUUGUCCGGAAUUAUUGGGCGUAAAGAGCUCGUAGGCGGUCUGUUGCGUCCGCUGUGAAAACUCGGGGCUUAACCCCGAGCCUGCAGUGGAUACGGGCAGACUAGAGGUAGGUAGGGGAGAAUGGAAUUCCCGGUGUAGCGGUGAAAUGCGCAGAUAUCGGGAGGAACACCUGUGGCGAAAGCGGCUCACUGGACCACAACUGACGCUGAGGCGCGAAAGCUAGGGGAGCAAACAGG